GAGCGUCAUUGCAACACUCAGGCACCGCCUGGUAUUGGGCGCCGCCCGUCGAGGGCGCGCCUUAAACUCCUCGGCGUCGCCGUCCGUCCUCGAGCGCAGCGAGAACUCUUCCAGCGCUACCGAGGCGGGCCGUGGCCGCCGCAACGCACAAUUCUUUCAAUGUUGACCUCGGAUCGGGUGGGGAUACCCGCUGAACUUAA
rnacentral:misc_RNA from 1 species